AACCAAUCCAUGCCGUACAGAUAGACGUAGCGGUUGGCGUACCCGCGUUAACAUGCACUCCAAAACCAUUGUAUUAUGGGGAGUGUUAUGCCGAUUAACGUCCGAGGGCUGUAUCCUAGGCUGUUGGGUGAUACGACCUUCAUUUCACUGCCUCACGGCUUUGGUCCUGAUAAUGCUUCCUGUCAUCUUUCGAACUACGUCCGAGAUCAUCUACCAGUACUCCAUCAUCGAGGCUAGCGGGCUGCCAAGCUGACCAAACUGGCCCUGAAAGCAGCCGUUAGUGAAGAAUAAACAACAAAAUAGUCAAAAACCAAAAACAACUCACCAAAACCAAGAUGGCGGCCUCCAUAUUGCGACCUCCACUACUUGUUCCUGACCCAUGGCUCCAGAAUAUUUAAAGCUCACCAAACGCCUUCGGGCACCGAGCCGACCGUGCGAGGGCUGAAAGGCCAGUCAAGGUCGUUAAACACCACCACAUAUAUAUAUCUA
rnacentral:lncRNA from 1 species